GAUGAACGCUCGCUGUGUGCCUAAUACAUGCAUGUUGAACGGGAUGUAGCAAUACAUUCAGUAGCGAAUGGGUGAGUAACACGUACCUAACCUACCUUUAAGACUGGGAUAACUAUUGGAAACAAUAGCUAAUACCGGAUAUAUUUAUUUAUCGCAUGAUGAGUAAUAGAAAGGAGCUUCACAGCUUCACUUAAAAAUGGGGGUGCGGAAUAUUAGUUAGUUGGUAGGGUAAUGGCCUACCAAGACUAUAAUGUUUAGCCCGGCCGAGAGGCUU
rnacentral:rRNA from 1 species